AGAGCGAACGCUGGCGGCAUGCUUAACACAUGCAAGUCGCAUGGGCAGGUCAACCUGUCAGUUGCGGACGGGUGACUAACGCGUAGGAAUCUAUCCUUGGGUGGGGCACAACCGUGGGAAACUACGGCUAAUACCGCAUGAUCCCUGAGGGGCAAAGGCGAAAGUCGCCUGAGGAGGACCUGCGUCUGAUUAGGUAGUUGUGUGGGUAGAGGCCUACCAAGCCUGCGAUCAGUAGCUGGUCUGAGAGGAUGAUCAGCCACACUGGGCUGAGACACGGCCCAGACUCCUACGGGAGGCAGCAGUGGGGAAUAUUGGACAAUGGGCGAAUAGCCUGAUCCAGCAAUGUCGCGUGGAUGAAAAA
rnacentral:rRNA from 1 species